GUAAAAUACAACACCCAGUAUUUUUGGCUGCUCGCGUAUCUCCCACUCAUGGGUAGUCUCUCUAAGCUGGUAGAUAGAUAUUUUAAUGAACCACUUAAGUUCCGUUGUGAAGUUUCUCGUCUCUUUAGGCUGUAUUUCAUGACACUACUGUAGUUCACACAUAU
rnacentral:snoRNA from 1 species